ACUCGGGGUCAGUCCGGGCCGGCGGCCGCCGCCAGGGGGCAGCAGAGGCACGCGGACCUCGCCGCGGGCACCGCCGGGAAGACACGGACCCAGCGCCGCGGAGGGCCCGGCGGCCCCGCCCCUCCGCUCCGCGCGGCGCCUCCCCCAACCCCCAGCAGACACAGGCCCGGAGGCCCGCAGUCUCCCAGCCGGAUUCCAGCUCCCGGUCACUCCGGGAGUGUGCUGGACCUCUGAGCUCUGCCUUUGACUCCUGGGCUGUGGUUCUGAUGAACAGAGGUUCUUCACGUCCGUGCAGUGCAGCGUGUAGUGUUUGAUUGGUUUUGAUGGCACUGAAAACGGUUAUUCAGACACCGUCGCUGCUUGUAACUGGCGUACGGAGCCGCAGCCACGGCACAGCCGGCAGCCGCGGCCUCCCACCGUCUGCAUGUUGUGUCUCAGAGACGCUGACUUUUGAGGCCCACAAUCAUGCUGACUGUGAGUACAGGUUUACUUCUCCCUUUUCAAUGCUUCUGCCCUUUAUUCCUUUUUCUAGUCUAACUGUUCUAUUGAAUAGAAGUGUGAUAGCUUUCUUGUGUCAUUUCAACUCUAGGAGAAAAGUUUUCAGAAUUUUUCUGAAAAUUAAUGUAUAGUAUGAUCUUUGCUAUAGAGUUUUAAAGAUAUUCUUUAUCAAAUUAAGGAAAUUAUUUUCUUAGUAACAUGGAAACAUACAUUACCAUAUGUAAGCCAGAGAACCAAUGGAAACUGCUAUGUGACUCAGGGAACUCACACCCGGGCUGGGUAACCACCUAGAGGGGUGGGUGGGGAGGGAGGGGGCGGGGCAGGGGUAAACCCUUGGCCGAUUCAUGUUGGUGUUUGGUAGAAACCAGCACAACGCCGUAAGGCAAUCACCCUUCAAUUACAAAUAAAUAAAAUUAUCUCCUAUCUUGAUUUUUUGAAAUCACGGGCUGGUGUUGAAUUUUGACAGUUUUUCUGCAUCUAUCAAGAUGGCCUUAUGAUUUUCUCCUUUUCCUCCUGUUAAUACGGUGGACUAUAUUGAACGAGUUAAAAUACUGGACUGCAUGGUGCACAGCAUCUGAUCCUCCUGCAUUAUCCCUUCACAGUCGCUGGGCCUUCUGGCUGAUACUUUGUGUCCACGGCGAUAAGAGAUUUUUCCCCGCAUGUGAGGUCCUCGCUGGGUCUUCAGUAUGGAGUCUCGUGGGGCCUCUCUGAAGAGAGUCAGGGAGUGUUCUUCUUGCUCCUGGUCCCUGAAGGAUCAUUUCUUCCUUCAGUGUUUGGGGGAAUUUGUUGGUGAAGCCAACUGGGUCUGGGACUGUCUUUGUGAUGGUGUUAAGGCUUCACUUCUUGAAGAGAGAUUAAGUUAUUCAGAUUUUCUAUUGUCAGCUUUGGUAGGUUAUAUUUUUUGAGGAAUUUGUCCAUUUCAUUCAAAUUGUCAAAUUUAUUAGAGUAAGGUUAUAAAAACAGUCUCUUAUUAGUUUUUCGAUGUCUGAAGGAUCUCAUGAUGUCAUAUCACCUAUCCUGAAAUUUCUGUCUUUUCUUCGUCAGGUCUUCCUAAGUGUCUAUCAGUUUUACUAUUGGCAGUCCGCCCCUGGGAACCCAUUCUUGCUGUUACCGAUUUCCUCUGCCGGAGGCGUGAUUUAAUUUCAUGGUUUCUGUUGUUCUGUCUCUCACUUGUUUUCCUUUUUUCUUAAAUGUUUUUAUUCUAGCUUCUUGAAAUCAAAGUUUAAAUCAGUUUUUUAAGGCUUUCUUUUUGUACUCAAGGGUGUAUUUUUCCCUAAACCCUGUUUUAGACAAGGCUCCUAGGUUUUCAUAUAUAGUAUUUUCAUUCUUUAAGUCAAUUUAAAAUAUUUUGUAAAUUCCAUUGUCAUUUCUUCUCUGACCAAUUGAUGAUGAUAGACAUACUGUUUAAUUUCAAGGAAAUUGCAUUUUUUUUUACAUGUAUCUUUUAGUUAUUGAUUUAUGUUUUAAUUUCCUUGUGGUUAGAAAACAAACUCUGAGUGAUUUCAGCACUUGGCAUCUGCUGAGGCAUCCAGCGGCCAGCGACGGUCCACUUGGUAGAGGUUCCACACACACCUGGGGGGGGCAGGUGCGCCUGCUCCUUCCUGGCUCCUCGUUCCAUGAACAUCGGGCCAUGUCCGUGCAGGCCUCCUGCACUCGGGGACGUUCCCGCACACUUCUGCAGGUUGCUGCCGAUUCAUUUUCUCUUUCUACCAGCAACUGCCAGGAUGGGUCCAGCCUCCCCACGGAGCCGAGGAUCUGUCUGCGGCUCCUGUUUGAGUCGGUUCUGUUCACACAUUUGAAGCUGUGUCUCUGGUGCUCACGGGCUGGGGACGCGGGUCCCCGCUGACUGGCCGCUGGGGCGUCCUCUCCAGUACCGUGUCUCAGCAGAAGACUGCCGGGCUUUCAACUGAUGAGUUUUCCCAGGGUUUACAGACUGCCUCUCACCUCCUCCAGGCUGGCCCUGCCCUGCAGGAGAGGGGAUUCCUGUCCCUGGGUCACGGCAGGGCUCUUGGCCUGGAGACAUUUCUGGGGUGUCACAUGGGAAGGCACUGGAGGCCAGGGCUGCCGCUAACACCCCCGGCACACACAGUUACGGCCGUGCACAGAGAGUCAUCCCAUCCCUACUGGUCAGAAGGAGAAAGGCAGCCUGGAUCGAGGGGUGCGAGGUCUGCCCACACCAGCGGCCAUGGAAGCCCCACAGAGGAGGAGGGUGGGCUUGACCAGAGUGUUCUGGCCUGUUUUCUGUAUUCAAUUUCAUCAAGUUUACUUUCUUUAGUUUCCAAUUCAUAUUUGCUAGUCUAAAUAAAAGAGGAGGUUCUAUUA